CCUCGUGCACCUGCGACGGCGAGAUGAGGUGCACGUGGGAGUCGAUGCCGCCCGCCGUGAGGAUCCUGCCCUCGCCCGAGACGACGUCGGUCGACGGCCCGAUGAGCAGGUCGGGGUGGACGCCGUCGGCGACGUCGGGGUUGCCGGCACGCCCGAGCGCGACGAUCCGCCCGUCGCGGAUGCCGACGUCCGCCUUGACGAUCCCCCACCAGUCGAGCACGACGGCGUUCGUGAUGACCGUGUCGAGGGCGCCCUCCGCGCGCGUCGCCGUGCCCUGA
rnacentral:sRNA from 1 species